rnacentral:rRNA from 1 species
CCUACGGGGGGCAGCAGUAGGGAAUUUUCGUCAAUGGGCGCAAGCCUGAACGAGCAAUGCCGCGUGAACGAGGAAGGUCUUCGGAUCGUAAAGUUCUGUUGACGGGGAAAAAGAGCGGAGAGAGGAAAUGAACUCCGAUUGAUAUUACCCUUCGAGGCAGUCACGGCUAACUACGUGCCAGCAGCCGCGGUAAUACGUAGGUGGCGAGCGUUAUCCGGAAUGAUUGGGCGUAAAGGGUGCGUAGGCGGCCUGCUAAGUCUGGUGUGAAAGGUACCGGCUCAACCGGUACAGGCUCUGGAAACUGGCGGGCUAGAGAGCAGGAGAGGGCGGUGGAACUCCAUGUGUAGCGGUAAAAGGCGUAGAUAUAUGGAAGAACACCAGUGGCGAAGGCGGCCGCCUGGGCUGUUACUGACGCUGAGGCACGAAAGCGUGGGGAGCAAAUAGGAUUAGAUACCCCGGUAGUC